UACGUAGGGUGCGAGCGUUGUCCGGAUUUAUUGGGCGUAAAGCGCGUGUAGGCGGCCCGAUAAGUCCGCUGUGAAAGUCCAGGGCUCAACCCUGGGAUGCCGGUGGAUACUGUCGGGCUCGAGUCCGGAAGAGGCGAGUGGAAUUCCUGGUGUAGCGGUGAAAUGCGCAGAUAUCAGGAGGAACACCACUGGCGAAGGCAGCUCGCUGGGACGUGACUGACGCUGAGACGCGAAAGCGUGGGGAGCAAACAGG
rnacentral:rRNA from 1 species